rnacentral:rRNA from 1 species
UGAGGAAUAUUGGUCAAUGGACGCAAGUCUGAACCAGCCAAGUAGCGUGCAGGAUGACGGCCCUAUGGGUUGUAAACUGCUUUUAUAUGGGGAUAAAGUGGGGAACGUGUUCCCUUUUGCAGGUACCAUAUGAAUAAGGACCGGCUAAUUCCGUGCCAGCAGCCGCGGUAAUACGGAAGGUUCGGGCGUUAUCCGGAUUUAUUGGGUUUAAAGGGAGCGUAGGCCGUUUGGUAAGCGUGUUGUGAAAUGUAGGAGCUCAACUUCUAGAUUGCAGCACGAACUGUCAGACUUGAGUGCGCACAACGUAGGCGGAAUUCAUGGUGUAGCGGUGAAAUGCUUAGAUAUCAUGAAGAACUCCGAUUGCGAAGGCAGCUUACGGGAGGGCAACUAACGCUGAAGCUCGAAGGUGCGGGUAUCGAACAGG